AGCGAACGCUGGCGGCAGGCUUAACACAUGCAAGUCGAGCGGGCACUUCGGUGUCAGCGGCAGACGGGUGAGUAACACGUGGGAACGUACCCUUUGGUUCGGAAUAACGCUGGGAAACUAGCGCUAAUACCGGAAACGCCCUUUUGGGGAAAGGCUUGCUGCCGAAGGAUCGGCCCGCGUCUGAUUAGCUAGUUGGUGGGGUAAUGGCCUACCAAGGCGACGAUCAGUAGCUGGUCUGAGAGGAUGAUCAGCCACACUGGGACUGAGACACGGCCCAGACUCCUACGGGAGGCAGCAGUGGGGAAUAUUGGACAAUGGGCGCAAGCCUGAUCCAGCCAUGCCGCGUGAGUGAUGAAGGCCUUAGGGUUGUAAAGCUCUUUUGUCCGGGACGAUAAUGACGGUACCGGAAGAAUAAGCCCCGGCUAACUUCGUG
rnacentral:rRNA from 1 species